rnacentral:rRNA from 1 species
GAGGGACCACCCUCCAAGGCUAAAUACUACCUAGUGACCGAUAGCGUAUAGUACCGUGAGGGAAAGGUGAAAAGAACCCCGGGAGGGGAGUGAAAUAGAACCUGAAACCCUGCACUUACAAGCUGUGGAAGCACAUUUCUUGUGUGACCGCGUACUUUUUGUAGAACGGGCCAACGAGUUACGUUAAGUAGCAAGGUUAAGCACUUAAGGUGCGGAGCCGUAGCGAAAGCGAGUUUUAACUGAGCGUUCAGUUACUUGACGUAGACCCGAAACCGGGCGACCUACCCAUGAGCAGGAUGAAGCGAAAGUAAAAUUUCGUGGAGGUCCGAACCCACGAGCGUUGAAAAGCUCGGGGAUGACUUGUGGGUAGCGGUGAAAUUCCAAUCGAGCCCGGAGAUAGCUGGUUCUCCCCGAAAUAGCUUUAGGGCUAGCCUCAAGGUGAGAGAUACGGAGGUAGAGCACUGAAUGUCCUAGGGGGUAUUGCACCUACCGAAGACUAUCAAACUCCGAAUGCCGUCAUCUUAUACUUGGGAGUCAGACUGUGGGUGAUAAGAUUCAUAGUCGAAAGGGCAACAGCCCAGAUCGUCAGCUAAGGUCCCUAAAUGUAAGUUAAGUGGUAAAGGAUGUGGGAUUGCACAGACAACCAGGAUGUUGGCUUAGAAGCAGCCACUCAUUCAAAGAGUGCGUAAUAGCUCACUGGUCGAGUGAUCCUGCGCCGAAGAUUUCCGGGGCUAAAACUUACUACCGAAGCUACGGCAUCAGUAAUGAUGGGUAGGGGAGCUUCCCAUACGGGUUGAAGCAUGACCGUAAGGACAUGUGGACAGUAUGGGAGUGAGAAUGUUGGCAUGAGUAGCGAGAUGUGGGUGAGAAUCCCACAGGCCGUAAACCCAAGGUUUCCAGGGGAAGGUUCGUCCGCCCUGGGUUAGUCGGGACCUAAGCUGAGGCCGAAAGGCGUAGGUGAUGGACAACAGGUUGAUAUUCCUGUACUACCGAUAACCGUUUGAGAGAAGGGAUGACACAGUAGGAUAAGCUAAGCACACUGUUGGUUAUGUGUGCCCAAGCAUUGAGGCAGUCAAAGUAGGCAAAUCCGCUUUGAUAAUGCUGGGAUGUGAUGGGGAGCGAAAUUUAGUAGCGAAGUAGCUGAUUUCACACUGUCAAGAAAAGUCUCUAUCGAGGUUAAAGGUACCCGUACCGCAAACCGACACAGGUGGGUGAGGAGAGUAUCCUAAGGCCAGCGAGAGAACUGUUGUUAAGGAACUCGGCAAAAUGACCCCGUAACUUAGGGAUAAGGGGUGCCACCAUCAGGUGGCCGCAGAGAAUAGGCCCAAGCGACUGUUUACCAAAAACAUAGGUUUCUGCUAAGUCGCAAGACGAUGUAUAGGAGCUGACGCCUGCCCGGUGCUGGAAGGUUAAGGGGAUCUGUUAGAGCAAUCGAAGCAGUGAACUUAAGCCCCAGUAAACGGCGGCCGUAACUAUAACGGUCCUAAGGUAGCGAAAUUCCUUGUCGGGUAAGUUCCGACCCGCACGAAAGGCGUAACGAUUUGGGCACUGUCUCAACAACAGACUCGGUGAAAUUGUAAUUCCGGUGAAGAUGCCGGAUACCUGCGACAGGACGGAAAGACCCCAUGGAGCUUUACUGUAGCUUGACAUUGGGUCUUGGUACUACAUGUACAGGAUAGGUGGGAGGCUUUGAAACCAGGACGCCAGUUUUGGCGGAGCCAUCCUUGGGAUACCACCCUUGUAGUACUGGGACUCUAACCAUAGGCCAUGAAUCUGGUCUUGGGACACUGUCA